rnacentral:rRNA from 1 species
AAAGCGUGCGCAGGCGGUUGUGCAAGACAGAUGUGAAAUCCCCGGGCUCAACCUGGGAAUUGCAUUUGUGACUGCACGGCUAGAGUGUGUCAGAGGGGGGUAGAAUUCCACGUGUAGCAGUGAAAUGCGUAGAUAUGUGGAGGAAUACCGAUGGCGAAGGCAGCCCCCUGGGAUAACACUGACGCUCAUGCACGAAAGCGUGGGGAGCAAACAGGAUUAGAUACCCCUGU